CAUUUAUCUGCAGCGCCAGUACGGACAUUGAAAAUCCGGAUGACCAUGGCAUCUUCUCCUGUUUUUAGAUGCAGUGAGGGUGCAGAGAAGUGGAAGGAGUUUUUCUCAAAGUUAGAGGAGAAACACCAAGCUUUGGAGGCAGAGAAAAACCAGUGUGAAGCCAGGACCAAGGUCAAGAUGAGAAUUUUAAUGGGAACUUGUGCUCUUUUCUGCUGAAUAUUAUAAUGCAUAUUACAAACGUGCCCAGCUGGUACCACAGUUAUUUUUGUAAAGGCUUUUCAUUACAAGUUGUUCUGUGAAUUUUACGU